UAGGGAAUAUUAGUAAUGGGCGAAAGCCUGAACUAGCAACACCGCGUGUGCGAUGAAGGCCUUCGGGUUGUAAAGCACUUUUAGAGAGGACGAGGAAGGACGGUACUCUCUGAAUAAGUCUCGGCUAACUACGUGCCAGCAGCCGCGGUAAAACGUAGGAGGCAAACGUUAUCCGGAAUUACUGGGCGUAAAGCGCGUGUAGGUGGUUUGUUAAGUAGGGCGUGAAAGCUCCUGGCUCAACUGGGAGAGGUCGUUCUAAACUAACAGACUAGAGGAUGGUAGAGGGAGGUGGAAUUCCGGGUGUAGCGGUGGAAUGCGCAGAUAUCCGGAGGAACACCAGUGGCGAAAGCGGCCUCCUGGACCAACCCUGACACUCAGACGCGAAAGCUAGGGUAGCAAACGG
rnacentral:rRNA from 1 species